GCAUCCUUAGCUCAGGUGGAUAGAGCAGCAACCUUCUAAGUUGACGGUGGUAGGUUCGAAUCCUACAGGGUGUA
rnacentral:tRNA from 1 species